CUGCCUCCCGUAGGAGUCUGGACCGUGUCUCAGUUCCAGUGUGACUGAUCAUCCUCUCAGACCAGUUACGGAUCGUCGCCUUGGUAGGCCUUUACCCCACCAACUAGCUAAUCCGACCUAGGCUCAUCUGAUAGCGUGAGGUCCGAAGAUCCCCCACUUUCUCCCUCAGGACGUAUGCGGUAUUAGCGCCCGUUUCCGGACGUUAUCCCCCACUACCAGGCAGAUUCCUAGGCAUUACUCACCCGUCCGCCGCUGAAUCCAGGAGCAAGCUCCCUUCAUCCGCUCGACUUGCAUGUGUUAGGCCUGCCGCCAGCGUUCAAUCUGAGCCAGGAUCAAACCCUC
rnacentral:rRNA from 1 species